GUAGGUGAACCUGCGGAAGGAUCAUUACAGUGUUCGCUGCCCUCACGGGUAGCAAACCUCACCCUUGUGUAUUAUAUCUUUGUUGCUUUGGCACGCCGCCUUCGGGCACUGGCUUCGGCUGGCUCGCGCGUGUCAGAGGACCCCAAACUCUGAAUGUUAGUGUCGUCUGAGUACUAUCUAAUAGUUAAAACUUUCAACAACGGAUCUCUUGGUUCUG
rnacentral:misc_RNA from 1 species